rnacentral:lncRNA from 1 species
UCCAAACCUGACGGCUAGCAGUUUCGACGAAGAUACAGGUUUGACCUGUGCUAUUAUCAAAGUACAGGGCAUCGGAUUAACAGCCAAGUCAAUGUUCGUUUGAUCUCCGGCAACAUCACCCGAUGUGGCCAAAGUUCUUUCUCGUACAUUCGAAUUAAAACGUUUUCUGUCUUAUCGCUACACGUAAACUAUACGUAAAAUAUGCAGUUAGUGUCGGCGGUGCGUGUUUUACGAAAUGUCAGACUUGUGGAUUGCGAAUCACAGAGACGCAGAAUCGUGUGACUCCACCACAUUUUACGUGAAAUGCAUGUACUCGUGUUCUUCGAUCGAGAGAGGAAAACCUCCGCACCUUCUUCCUCCUGGAGAGACGUAGACCAAGUCACCUAAUUUUCUCGUUAAAUUUGCGACCAGGUGCCCCACUCCCUGGGUCUCACCUCAUCCGAUCGUGCCGUGUACAAUGAGCGGUUAUAUUUGAAUCAUUACAAGCUUAACACUUAAGCAAAACUUGUUGCUGGCCUUGACAACGCAUCGCUGAAAUAAAAAUAUUCGUGUCGGGAUGGUUUUUAGCUAAUAACGGGUUUAUCGGUGAGAAAGGAAGGGGAACAACGGCAAAAAACUGUUUCACAAAUCUGACCGCGACAUAUCGACGCGCGAGUCUUGUCGCGGGUUCAUUCGGUCGGAUUCUCUGGCUGACGCGACUGACGGCGGAAUUCGCACAACAGCGGGUGCGUUACGAGCACUUGAUUUCGCCUCGAAACCGGAUUUGUAUAUGUAGAUUUGAUAAAGUAUAUGUGCAAAAAUCCGAGUAGUAGAAGUUUUCCACAUUUUCCAAAAAUCCAACUUUUGCCAACCUGCAUUGUCCCGAGUUUAGACCCGGUGAUGGAUAACUCCACGGUUCGCCAAUUUCGUCAACAGUACGAACGGCAGCCGAAUCGCCUGGACUGGAAAUUCCUGCGACACAAGAACUUACGGCUGUAUUUUUUUUGAGUAAG